rnacentral:rRNA from 1 species
CAAAUCAAAACAAAACUUUCAACAACGGAUCUCUUGGUUCUGGCAUCGAUGAAGAACGCAGCGAAAUGCGAUAAGUAAUGUGAAUUGCAGAAUUCAGUGAAUCAUCGAAUCUUUGAACGCACAUUGCGCCCCCUGGUAUUCCGGGGGGCAUGCCUGUU